rnacentral:tRNA from 1 species
GCCGGCAUAGCUCAGAGGUAGAGCUACUGUCUUGUAAACAGUAGGUCCCCGGUUCGAUUCCGGGUGCCGGCUCCA